rnacentral:rRNA from 1 species
ACGCUGGCGGCGUGCCUAAUACAUGCAAGUCGAGCGAACAGACGAGGAGCUUGCUCCUCUGACGUUAGCGGCGGACGGGUGAGUAACACGUGGAUAACCUACCUAUAAGACUGGGAUAACUUCGGGAAACCGGAGCUAAUACCGGAUAAUAUAUUGAACCGCAUGGUUCAAUAGUGAAAGACGGUUUUGCUGUCACUUAUAGAUGGAUCCGCGCCGCAUUAGCUAGUUGGUAAGGUAACGGCUUACCAAGGCAACGAUGCGUAGCCGACCUGAGAGGGUGAUCGGCCACACUGGAACUGAGACACGGUCCAGACUCCUACGGGAGGCAGCAGUAGGGAAUCUUCCGCAAUGGGCGAAAGCCUGACGGAGCAACGCCGCGUGAGUGAUGAAGGUCUUCGGAUCGUAAAACUCUGUUAUUAGGGAAGAACAAAUGUGUACGUAACUAUGCACGUCUUGACGGUACCUAAUC